GCGCCUGUAGCUCAGUGGAUAGAGCGUCAGUUUCCCUAGCAGCUAGUCGUAGGUUCGACUCCACUCUACCGGUGGCA